AGCUCUUCUCUAUUAGUUUUGCCUUAGCUAGAACUGCUGAGUAGGUGCUGAGCUACCAAGAUCCAGAUCCUGAACAGCAAGAAAAAGGUUGUGAAUAAAGCUGCUCCCGUAUCCCAUCAUAUUUGCCCAGCAGAGGUUAACUCCAUAAGAUCUUUAGUUGUGUUUUCUUUUAUUUAUUUAUUCUGUUAUUGAAAUCUUACUUAAAGGGACAUUCCCGUAACCUAUUGAACAU
rnacentral:lncRNA from 1 species